GGUCCUGUGAUGACGAUGGCAGAACAGAACGACAGAAGGGACCUGGGUUUCUGAUGACAUCUUGAAGCUGCCAAUCCAGACUUCUGGUCUUGUUUUAUGCGAGUACCUCCAGGGCAGGGAGCCUGCAGUGGUUCAUGUGUGUCUAAGCAUGUCUGGCACCAUUAGGUAUUCACCAAUAUUGCUGAAGAACUGAAGAGUGAAUGAACUCCCAGGAGAUGGCAGCUGAGGUUCCCUUUGGGCCGCCUUCCAGGCAAAGGUUUUCAGAGUUCCUAAAGGACAACUAGUUCCAGGUGAACAUCUUCGGGUGAGCCUCCAAAGCCAUCAGGCUAUGCUCGGAUGUGGACAUCUCUCAUCUUAAAGCUUAAUCCUGAACUUAUUACUUGUGAAAUGCCUUCUGCAGCCUGGGACUUUAGACAGAGAUAAGACAUGCUGGGAAUACAUAUUUCCAGAUGCACUUCUUAAAUAAAGCAGCCCCCACCCCAGGUAACUUCCAGUGUGCCAAAGGAUGAAGGCUGGUUGCCAGGAAAACCAACACGUGAUUAGCCGGUUGUAAUUUUCAGUCCCACCCCCAGAUCUCCUGGGAGGGAAGAGGGGCCACUGGUUGAAUCAGUCUCUAAGGGCCAAUGAUUGAAUCCAGCACACCUGUACCAUGAAGCCUCCCUAAACGCCCGAAAGGACAGGGUUUGGAGAACUUCCGGGCUGGUGAACUCACGGAGGCGCUGGGAGAGUGGCGGCUGGAGAGGGCACCGCGACCCUUCCCCUACCCCUUCCCCCCCUCCUGCAGCUUUUCCAUCUGGCAGUUCCUGACUCAUCCUUUGAUAAUUAACUGGUAACCUAGUAAGUACAAUGUUCCUCUGAGUUUUGUGAACUGUUUUAACAAAU